rnacentral:snoRNA from 13 species
AGGGUGUGCUCAGAACAAGGGACCUUGAAGAACGGUUCCUCUGUUUACAGCACACCCAACAGCAAUGUGGGGAAAUUGUGUUGAGGAGCAUAAAACAUGUGGUCUGUUUGUGAACACAUGUCCUACACAU